CCGCCCUCCUGGGGGCGCCCUUGAGCCCGCUGGAGGAUGGCACCACUCCCCACCUCCUUCCCCUUCGGCCCGGGCCUUCGGGAAGGCCCAGGCAGGCCACAGCAGCAAGGCCAGCUAAAUCACGGCCCUCUUUCAGGACGUGGCGCCCAGGCCAUCCUGGGGCACAUUUUACUAUAGUUUUUCAAUGAAGAUCUCAUCGGAUCUAAACCAAUUCAGCAUCAUUUGUGGCAGUCACAAAAAUACAGUUUCUGGAAUAGAACAACUACUUUCAAAGCGGCUUGUUUGUUUGCGCAGCACACCACCCUCUCCGCUCGGAAACCCAGACCCAGAAUGGCUCACCAGGGCUAGGGAGGGGGCUUUUAUGGAGAUCUUCCACGUGGACGCAUAGGACGCUAGCCCCCACCUUUCCAUCCAUCGUGGAAGCGUCUGAUUAGCCUGGGAGCGGCAGCCAUUUUAGGCUGCGCUAGGCUCCCAUUCAAGGUAGGUUGCAGAAACAAAAAUAUUUUAAAAAAAUAUUUUUGAAAUAUAUUUGAAAAAUUUUGGGGGGGGGGGGGAAUUUAACGAAACAUUAAGACACAAUUAGAGAAUAGGCCAACGAUGGUUCGAAUUACAUUGUCAGUUGCGCCCAGGGACAAUGUCUCAAAACUCGAUUCAAAAAGCGAGAACAAUCUGAAAUAAUUCCGAUAUAAGAAUCAUAACGAAUUUUUGGACAACCCUAACGUUUAUGUAACUUACGUAAAAAUACCGGGCACAAGUUUUAAUUCUUAAUCUUUUAGUGUGGGCAAUGCCUAUGUGUUGGAUAUUGCGUACAGAUUUUAUGAAUUAAAUCCAACCUUACAACAGAGAAUUGAAAUUAUGCACAUCCCUACUGACUUCAUAACACAUUUGGUUAAUAGCGCUCAAGGUCCUAAGCUUGGCCAGUGAACAAACCUAAGUUCUAUUCAUCACACAGUAUAGCUAUAGCAAACUUCCCGCCCUGAUUGUUCUCCAGACAUGUUGUGC
rnacentral:lncRNA from 11 species